rnacentral:tRNA from 1 species
GGCGACGUGGCCAAGCUGGCAAGGCAAGGGUCUGCAAAACCCUCAUCACGGGUUCGAAUCCCGUCGUCGCCUCAA